GCAGCUCAUUUGGUAGAGCAUGAGAUUCUUAAUCUCAAGGUUGUGGGUUCGAUUCCCACCUUGGGCA